CGGCGAGUGAAGCGGCAACAGCUCAAAUUUGAAAUCUGGCCUCUUUGGGGUCCGAGUUGUAAUUUGGAGAGGAUGUUUCGGGUACGGUCCAGGCUUAAAUUUCUUGGAACAGAAUGUCACAGAGGGUGAGAAUCCCGUCUGGAGUCCGGACACGGCCUAUGUGAAACUCCUUCGACGAGUCGAGUUGUUUGGGAAUGCAGCUCUAAAUGGGUGGUAAAUUUCAUCUAAAGCUAAAUAUUGGCCAGAGACCGAUAGCGCACAAGUAGAGUGAUCGAAAGAUGAAAAGCACUUUGAAAAGAGAGUUAAAAAGUACGUGAAAUUGUUGAAAGGGAAGCGCUGGCAACCAGACUUGCGCGUCGGGGUUCCCCCUUGCUUCUGCCUGGGUUACUCCCCGGCGUUCAGGCCAACAUCGGUUUCGGGGGUUGGUUAAAGGCCUUGGGAAUGUACCUACCCUCCGGGGUAGACUUAUAGCCCAGGGUGUCAUGCGACCUCCCGGGACCGAGGAACGCGCUUCGGCUCGGAUGUUGGCGUAAUGGUUGUCAGCGACCCGUCUUGAAACACGGACCAAGGAGUCUAACAUCUAUGCGAGUGUUAGGGUGUCAAACCCUUACGCGGAAUGAAAGUGAACGGAGGUAGGAAGCCGUUAGGCUGCACUAUCGACCGAUCCUGAGGUUUACCGAUGGAUUUGAGUAAGAGCAUAGCUGUUGGGACCCGAAAGAUGGUGAACUAUGCCUGAAUAGGGUGAAGCCAGAGGAAACUCUGGUGGAGGCUCGCAGCGGUUCUGACGUGCAAAUCGAUCGUC
rnacentral:rRNA from 1 species